UACGGGGGGGUAAGCGUUGUUCGGAAUUACUGGGCGUAAAGGCUCGUAGGCGGCCAACUAAGUCAUACGUGAAAUCCCUCAGCUUAACUGGGGAACUGCGUGUGAUACUGGAUGGCUUGGAUUUGGGAGAGGGAUGCGGAAUUCCAGGUGUAGCGGUGAAAUGCGUAGAUAUCUGGAGGAACACCGGUGGCGAAGGCGGCAUCCUGGACCAAUAUUGACGCUGAGGAGCGAAGCCAGGGAGCAAAGCGG
rnacentral:rRNA from 1 species